UAUCACUGCGUGUUUUUGGGUGCGCGUCCUUGCAGAAGGAGUGAUGACGCCAUGCGCGCUACUGCACGAGCGCACUGCGAAGAAGAAUGGAUAUCAUGACACAUUCACCAGCACCUGCCACUGAGAUCAACUUCUUAUGUUCAUAUCGCUGAACCUCAAGACAGCCAAAUACAUCAAAGAACAGGAUCAACACCCGCAGCGAAGACGAGUAUAAGAAUUAGUGAUAAAAUCCGUUCUGAUCCCUGUGAGAUUCUCAAUGGGAUUUAAUGAACUUCACACGGGAAGCUGAUCUUCCUGAAUCAAGGCUCUUCUCUGCCGAGGUGUUGUGCGCUGUGAACACAUGGUCACUCAGCUCCAUCUGACACCGAUAGAUUCUCGCAUGAGGGAGGAACGCCUGUGAAUGUUGAGUCAACCAAUCCAGCUUCAGAUACACUUUAUGACUUUCAUUAAUACAGUCAUUCUUACAACGCAGUAUAUUUGUCAUGUGCCCAUCAUAUCUGUCUUCAUAUAGUGGGUAAAAGGUUAUGCAUAUAUGGAAUGAGAAUUCUUCAGCAUUCAUAUUAUAUUAUAGGCAUUAUAAUACAAUAUAUUUCUGGGUUCAGCCUGUUAAUUUUAUUAUUUUUACCCAGGUGCUACAUAAUUUACAAAAUAAUUAGUGCUGUCAAAUGAUUAACCGAUUAAAUCGCAUCCAAAUUAAAAGUUGAUGUUUACCUAAUAUGUGUGUGUGUACUGUGUAUAUUUAUUAUGUAUAUAUAAAUACACACACAUGCAUGUAUAUAUUUAACAAAAUAUAUUAUAUUUAAAUAUAAAAAAAUAUAUAUUAGGUAAACACCAACUUUUAUUUUGGAUGUGAUUAAUCACGAUUAAUCGUUUGACAGCACUAAAAAUAAUACAUUUCACUCACUCACACACACACACACACACACACAUAUAUAUAUAUAUAUAUAUAUAUAUAUAUAUAGACAUAAAUAUAGACAAAAAUAAUGAAAUGAAAUGAUGUCAAGAAAUAUCCUUCAUACAUGUUUAAUACACCAGUAUUUAUUACCUGUAGGUCAUCAGAAAACAUAAGCUGUACAAAAAAAGACUUUACAACAUGACCAUAAUCAACAAAGAUCAGCGAGACCACUUUGCAAUGUACUAAACAUUUCUGUGCAAUAUAAAAGAUAUGAUUUAAUACUCAUUAUUAUUUACAAAUUAUACUAAACAUUCAUUUCACCAGCUGCUAGCAGGACGGCCAGGUGAAACGACUCUAAUGUAGCAGCGUAAAUGAAUGAGGGGAAAUGAGGAAAGUUGACCAAUAAAAAGCAUCUUCUAUAACUACUAUCUGAAUGGAAGAUUUCAGCAGGAUUCAUAGACUAAUACAUCUUAGGAAUAUCAUAUUCACGCUGUUGUUUCCAUACAAUAUGUUAAAUUCAAAAUAAAUCAAUUUUCAUGAAUGCUUAAGAUUUUAUACACUAUUUUCUUUUCACUGCAUUUUAGGGGAAUUAAUAAUAAUUCAUGGAUAUGUAAAUUGAUUACUAUUUAAAAAUCGGCUGAAUAAUAAAACAUCAAAAACCGUACCCGAAUGAUUUGAUGGCUUUGUAUAUUUUUUUGCAAGUGUGAAGAGACAGCUCAAAUUGUGACUAUAUUUAUGAUGCCAUAAUAUUAUACAAUAAAAUAUAUAUCAGAUCCAAGAAAAGUGCUACACAUGUACAGUGACCCCAGAAAGUAUUUGCACAUUUAAGCCACACUUAAUGUACAGACGCAUUUGCUCAAAUGCGUCACUCAGGAAUUGGACUAUACAGGUUCAUAAAAGUCAAUAGUUCAUGAAUCGGACUACAACGGACUGGUUGUAUGUUUUUGAUUCACUAAAAAGUACUUGUUCAUAAGAGUCAAUCAUUUGGGAAUUAGACUACACUGGUCGUGCAGUAUGUUUUUGAUUCAGUAUGAAAUACAGGUUCAAAAGAGUCAAUAGUUCAGGAAUCAGACUACACCGGAAAGGUCCUAUGUUUUGGAUUCACUAUAAAGAACUUGUUCAUUAGAGUCAAUCAUUCAGGAAUCGCACUACACUUGUCGAGCUGUAUGUUUUUGAUUCACUAAAAAGAACUGGUUCAUAAGAGUCAAUCAUUUGGGAAUCAGACUACACUGGUCACGCAGUAUGUUUAUGAUUCAGCAUAAAAUACAGGUUCAAAAGAGUCAAUAGUUCAUGAAUCAGACUAGACUUCAGUGGUUGUAUGAUUUGAUUCACUAAAAAGAACUGGUUCAUAAGAGUCAAUCAUUUGGGAAUCAGACUACACUGGUCAUGCAGUAUGUUUAUGAUUCAGCAUAAAAUACAGGUUCAAAAGAGUCAAUAGCUCAUGAAUCGGACUAGACUUGAGUGGUUGUAUGAUUUGAUUCACUAAAAAGAACUGGUUCAUAAGAGUCAAUCAUUUGGGAGUCAGACUACACUGGUCAUGCAGUAUGUUUUUAAAUCAGUAUAAAAUACAGGUUCAUAAGAGUCAAUAGUUUGGGAAUCGGACUACACCGGACAGGUUAUAUAUUUUUGAUUCAGUUUAAAAUACAGGUUCAUAAGAGUCAAUAGUUUGGGAUUCAGACUACACCGGACAGGUUGUAUAUUUUUGAUUCAGUUUAAAAUACAGGUUCGUAAGAGUCAAUAGUUUGGGAUUCGGACUACGCUGGACUGGUCGUAUGUUUCUGAUUCAGUAUAAAAUACAGGUUCAGAAGAGUCAAUAGUUCAUGAAUCGGACUACACCGGACUGGUUGUAUAUUUUUGAUUCACUAAAAAGAACUGGCUCCUAUAAUCAUUUAGGAAUCAGAAUACACUGGUCGUGCAGUAUGUUUUUGAUUUAGUAUAAAAUACAGGUUCAUAAGAGUCAAUAGUUUGGGAAUCGGACUACACCGGACAGGUUGUAUAUUUUUGAUUCAGUAUAAAAUACAGGUUCAUAAGAGUCAAUAGUUUGGGAAUCGGACUGCACCGGACAGGUUGUAUAUUUUUGAUUCAGUUUAAAAUACAGGUUCAUAAGAGUCAAUAGUUUGGGAAUUGGACUACACCGGACAGGUUGUAUAUUUUUGAUUCAGUUUAAAAUACAGGUUCAUAAGAGUCAAUAGUUUGGGAUUCGGACUACGCUGGACUGGUCGUAUGUUUCUGAUUCAGUAUAAAAUACAGGUUCAUAAGAGUCAAUAGUUUGGGAAUUAGACUACACCGGACAGGUUGUAUGUUUUUGAUUCACCUCAUAAAAUUUCUGACAUUGGUGGUGUAAAAUAAUAUUGUCAGAAACACCAUCAGAAUAUUUUAGUCUGUUCUUUAGCUGCA